UACGAAGGGGGCUAGCGUUGCUCGGAAUUACUGGGCGUAAAGGGCGCGUAGGCGGACAGUUUAGUCAGAGGUGAAAGCCCAGGGCUCAACCUUGGAAUUGCCUUUGAUACUGGCUGUCUUGAGUUCGGGAGAGGUGAGUGGAAUGCCGAGUGUAGAGGUGAAAUUCGUAGAUAUUCGGCGGAACACCGGUGGCGAAGGCGGCUUCCUGGCCUACUACUGACGCUGUGGCGCGAAAGCUGGGGGAGCGAACGGG
rnacentral:rRNA from 1 species